CCUAGAAAGAGGUAAAAUAAACCCUUGUGGAAAAUGAUGUUUUCACUCUGAAAUUUUCAUUCAAUGAUAACGGUAAUACAGUGAAAUUUUACUAGAAAUACGGGUUGUCUUGACUCUUUUUUAUGCUUUUUGGCAAAUGGAUAGACAGAAGAGAGCUACACCAUGCUAAUGUUUAAUCAGGAGGAUGGGGGGAAGCUUGCACAAUUGCACUCCAUUAUUUGAAAUAAAGAAACCACUAAAUUGUGGUGGGCUAGCUUUUUCCAACUUGAAUUUAUUCAAAAUGGGAAAUAAGCUCGCCAGAUUUAUUUACAAAACAGAGUUCAUGAAUUUGAACUACCAAAUUCCAUAAUCAGCAAGGGAGAAGGAAGAACUGAUUCUACCUUGAGGAGGGCGGCCGUUUGGUUCCCAUUACAAG